GACGAACGCUGGCGGCGUGCUUAACACAUGCAAGUCGAACGAUGAAGCAAAGAAUUGCAGCUUCGGCAGAAAUUCAUUUCGGAUUAGUGGCAGACGGGUGAGUAACGCGUGAGCAACCUACCUCUUACAAAGGGAUAGCCUCGGGAAACCGGGAUUAAUACCAUAUAACAUUGCGACGAAGCAUUUCGAUGCAAUCAAAGCUACGGCGGUAAGAGAUGGGCUCGCGUCUCAUUAACCAGAUGGUGAGGUAACGGCUCACCAUAGUAACGAUGGGUAACCGGGCUGAGAGGGUGAACGGUCACACUGGAACUGAGACACGGUCCAGACUCCUACGGGAGGCAGCAGUGGGGAAUAUUGCAAAAUGGAGGGAACUCUGAUGCAGCGACGCCGCGUGAGUGAUGAAGGAAUUCGUUUAGUAAAACUCUGUUCUAUGGGAAGAAAAGGACUGUACCAUAGGAGAAAGCUCCGGCUAAAUACGUG
rnacentral:rRNA from 1 species